UACGGAGGGGACUAGCGUUGUUCGGAAUUACUGGGCGUAAAGCGCACGUAGGCGGAUUUGUUAGUCAGGGGUGAAAUCCCGAGGCUCAACCUCGGAACUGCCUUUGAUACUGCAAAUCUCGAGUCCGGAAGAGGUGAGUGGAAUUCCUAGUGUAGAGGUGAAAUUCGUAGAUAUUCGGAAGAACACCAGUGGCGAAGGCGACUCACUGGCCCGAUACUGACGCUGAGGCGCGAAAGCGUGGGGAGCAAACAGG
rnacentral:rRNA from 1 species